CCUCGGUGCAGGCAUCUUGAGCAGUUGAAGAUUUUGUCAUCAGGGGGUGGAUGGGGUUGGGCUCCCUGGCACAGUCAGGCCUGAUCGACUGCCCUUGGAGUUCCUGGUCUCCGUGGGCUGAAUUCUGUGGCAGAUAUCUGCAGAGGACCUGAGGAUGGAGUUGGAGGUGGCAGGGCCUGUGGCUUCCUGGAAGGCAUCUGGUGUCCUUGCUGUGGGGAGUCGGCGGCAUCAGGCCUCUCUGGUUAAGUCCCAUUCCACACCUCCAAGGGCACAGGAGUCAGAAGCUCCAUUCAGCUGUGGCUGGGACCCAGGUGGACCUCAAGAGAUGGGCUGAGUCUUCCCAGCCUGGGGCUGUGGCCCUGACCACCCAGCCACGCUGACAGCUCUGCACUGUGGGAGCGGCUCUGGCUAUAGUGAGGGUGCAUAGAUCAGCAUGUAUCAUUUAAUGGAGAAUAAAUCCACAUAGCCUGACCUUCCCUGGAACAGCGAGGGGAACGAAGAAGUCAACAGGAGGACUUUUCUGGCUGAGAAGCCAUCUCGGAGAUUUGGAGCCCUGGGUUCCGGGUAGCUGGAAAGUUCCUCUGUUCUCUAGGUUGGCCCCAUUCUCAGCUGGCAGGAAUGAAAGACAUGAUGAGCAGCAACCUCAGGCCGCUAUCCUGCCCUCACAGUGACUGUGAGAUCAGGAGAGGCCUCAGUCCCUGUUGUGCCAGCAGCGAUCCGGGAUCGGCUCUGACUAGACCAACCAGGGUUGCAUCUUCAGCCCCAUCCCCACCCCUACCAGUGACUGAGGCUGGACAAUGGAAGGGCCAGGUCUGGGUCACGUGGCCAACCCUGGAUCCACCCAAAGCACAGGGAUUGAGUUUGUGAGCCAAGAACACCUGGGGCCAGAGAAUGGGGGAAUGGCUGCUGAACAAUCAGAAAGACCCAGCGUCCACCACACAAGCCGACAACCCCAUUGCAAAAAUGUCUAUUUCUAGUACAAAUGCCCCCAAGGGCACCCCUUUCCCUGUCAAUGAAAUGUGAUUUGAAUUCAUUUCUUACACCAAAUACAUGGAGACGGCGCAAGGCUCAUUAAGAAGAAGGAUGAGCAAGUGCACACGCUGGAUUUUAAUGGUUUAAAACUAUGUUGCCUCUGUCUGUUUAAGAAUUACUAUUCCUCAAAGAAUUCAGCUCCAUACGAUAAGUGUUAAUGCUUUAUUUCUUGGGGAAGUCUGCAGUCUGGAGUUGGAAUUGAUUGUGAACAGAAUAAAAUAAUUUGCUUUUUAUCAGCAUCCUCCAUGGAAACUUGUUUGCAGCCAGUCUGGGCCUCGGAGGAAAAUGCAUUUAGCUUUACCUCCCUAAUCCCUCUGUAAGGCGCCUAAAUCACCACCCAUCACUCAGCACCACUCAGCCUGAAAUGACCGUUGCUCAGUAAUCAUAAAAACAGAAUUACGGUCGCUGUCACCUCCUGCUGAUGGCUUCUUUAGGGCCAGAUGAGAGCAGGACUUAAGAGUCAGCGAUCGCAGGGAGCCACAAGCGCCCGCGGCUCUGCCAAGCACGGCUGUGCCCACGGAAGGGCCUUGCGUCCCCUAAAUCAGCGCUGGCCAUUCUUGUGUUCUUGACUCCCAAAGUCAGAAUUAAUGACCCUCUCCUUUACCGUGGAGGUGGUAGCUGACUGCUGAUUUACAGACUACUGAUGAGUUUCAUUUUGCUUUUAAAAAAUAUAUCAAUCACCAAAUCUGAUCGUUGGGAAUUUCCACAUAAAAGCCUGGAUUUUACUCCCUUUUUGGAAAAUAGGGAGAGUUGAAACCGCUGCAUUUGGGUGGUGCUGAGGAACGACAUCCCACCUCCCUCUCCAGUUCACCCGAGCCCUGGCCACUUUCUGGAGGCCCCUUCACUCUUUAUGUCACCUGCCUGGCCCCAGGCCACCUACAUCUGAGACCCUAGCCCACAGUGGUGCAGGUGGGUUGGAGCUCAGACUCUAUAGACGGAAGACUUACUGGCUUCCACUGCCAGCUCUGACCUGUCCUCGCUGGAUGUCUUGAAGCAAUGACUUGGUUUUGCAUGUGCAUCAGUUUCCUUAUCUGUAAAAUGGGUACAGUCAUAGCAUCGGUUGAUAUGCAAAGCAAAUGAGUUAACGAACAUGCAAGGCAACGGGAACCUCUCCCGGCACGCAGAAGAGCUGUGCUCGGAUAAGCUGCUACUGUCAUGCUCCUGCCUUCCUUUGCCCUCAUGGCAUUCUCUGCCCCAUCUUGGAUAUGGAGUGCAUGGAACUGUGGCCCCCAAGAAGAUAUGACCAAGGCCUCCACCUCUGGUGCCUGUGAAUGGGACCUUAUUUAGAAAAUGAGUCUUUGCAGACAUAAUGAAGUGAAGACUCUUGAGGGAGACUAUCCUGGAUUAAUCGGGUAGGUCCUACAACCAUGACAAGUGCUUUUAUGAGACAGAAGAGGGAGACACAGACACAGAGGGGAAGACCUGUGAAAAUGAAGGAUGGGACUCAACUGAGGCCACCACAAGCCGAGAACACCUGGGGCUGCCCAAAGCUGAGAGAGGCUGUGAAGGCAUCUCCCUGAGAGACACUGGAUGAAGCGAGGCCCUGCAGACUCCGCGAUUUCAGACUCCUGUCUUCAGAACUGUGAGAGAAUAAAUUCCUAUUGUUGUAAGCCCCGAAGUUUGCAGUGAUUUGUCACAGCAGCCACAGGACACUAAUAGCAAUGGGAUGGCAGAUUCUGUGGCCAACACCAUUUCUCUCCAGCCUGACCCAGCUCAGUGCUGGGCACGAUGUCGGGGUGACUCUGGAUCACUUCUCAACUGGGAAAAUGUGCUUACACCUCCCAGCACAUCUGUGAGGGACAGAGGGACCCUUUUUAGGGAAAGCAGGGCAGGGACCUGGAGUUCCAGGGUUGGGGGGGUGUUCCCCUUUCCCCACAGAAAGGCACAGAGCAGCAGCGAGCUCAAGGGAGAAAAUGAUGCUCACAUGUUUAGGAAGAGAUGAAAGAGGCUUCCUGCCACCAGAAUCACACCUAGUACAUGUGUGUGGGUUGGAUCAGAUCCCUGCUAUGCAGGCCCAGUGCAAAAUGGAAAUACAGGGUUUCAUGUUCAAAGACAUUUAAGAAUUUUAAGAUGGUGACAAUAGAGCACUAAGCCAAGUCGGGGGCUCUUCUGAGCAUGGGAGGCUGCACAGGUCACAAGCCUGUGAAGCUGGGCCUGGGGACCCUGCAGGCAGCAGGGAACAGUUGGUCACACCACGUCCCUACCCCAGAGCUUACCUUUUGGUGGGACGGCGACAAGAACCAAGUAAGCAAACCUACAACAUAGAUGCAUGGUUCCCAUCCUCAUGAGCAAACCUGGCUAAGUAGAUCCACUUUACUCCCACAGGAAGGGGAAAUAGAGAGUAUGAGACAACAGAGAGGUUAAGUAAUAUCUCAAGGUUGCACAGCUGGUUUGUGCUACAACUAGGCUGCAGGCCCUAAACAUCUUUACUUACUUCCCCUCAAGCAGGCAAUUAUUAGACAGCUGAUAUGUUCACUUCACAUAUAUUAACUCCUUCAAUCCUGCCACAUGGUCAAUCCUGUUAUUAUCCUCAUAUUACAGAUGAGGAAACUGAGGCACAAACCGUGUAAGUAGCUUACCCAAGGUCACACAGCCAGCAAAUGGCAGAGCCUGGAUUCAAACCAGGGAGAUGGCUCCAGGAUCUGUGUUUUCUACCCCAGUUCUCUACCGCAGGGAUGGCUCUUGUUAGGUUGAAUUUUGAUCAUUAAUUCUAAUUCUUCAAGCCAUUGUGCCCAUUUUAAUGCAACUUGUUGGAAUUUAGUGUUGUUUUAGCAUAAAAAUGGUCAAUAAACCAUAGUUUUUUGCAUAGAGGAAAAAAUAUUAACAAGGAUUUGCCCCAGAAGGAGUUUUUGGGAAGGAAAUUUUUCGGAAGGAGUCACCCGUGUCAUGAGGUGGAGGACAGGGCAUCUCGCCUUGAUCAGUUCAGGGCAUGCUCUGGUCUGCGGGGUCCUUGGCUCCUCUGUCGCCUGCCACCUCUCUUGUCUGUUCCGUUGCUCACUGACGUGUCUAUCUUGGGCUGCGAGCCCAGUGCUCAGCACACACUGUUUUUGAAUGAAUCUAUCUCUUUCUCAGUCCCUGCCGCUCUCUCCAUCUCUCUCUCUCUCUCUGCUUCUGCCUCUAGGGCCCUGUGAUUUCUUGAGGAUUGUUCCAGGAAACACACUUAAGACACCUGGGCUCAGGGACACUGACCUGUCCAGACGCAAACAUGAUCCAGGUGGGGCCAAUGACUCAGUGCCCCCAUCCCAGCCCCAUCACCCCAGGAAGACGAGACAGAUGGACUGCUGGGUCCAGCGUAAUCAGGGCUUGGAAUGGGGGCCUGAUUACCUGUCCAUGGAACAUUGAUUUAUAGGUAAUUCUUCUUCUCCUCCAAGACUCUGGAUUGCAGCUAAUUUACCGACAGUCUUAAAUCAUCCCCCCACAUGCAGUGGUGAAACCUGAGGCACCCUCUAUCAUGGGCCUCCUGUAACCACUGCCUUGAUUAAAAUGAGAGUGGUGAGGAGAAUAUCCUCCUUUGUACCGAGGGUGGGGCUCACACGGGAACUGGCAGUGUUGUUUAUCCAGAGAUGGUGGCAGCCCACACACGGCUCACUUAAUUUCAUGUUUGGUUGCUGACGGGUUUUCAUUUAUAGAUAAUAUAAACAGGUUGACAGGGCCCUAAUUAACUGAUUUGUGGUCCUUUGGGAACAAAAUGCUUAUUAAUAUUCAUAAACAUUUGUAGUACUUAGGCAGAUGCCCGGCCCUGACAUGAUCAUAAUAUGCCAUCAACAGUGAGCUCUCGUGAUGUCUGAUUUGUCCCUUGCCUGUGAACCCCAGAGAGCAUUGUCUGACCGUGGUCCCUCUCCAGGAGGUGGGUCCAGCUCUUGAUCCUGGCAUUUGUGCAUGAUUUACCGAUCACAUCUUGAACUUUCCACAAUCCUUUUUUCUCCCCAGAUGUCCUUGACCCAGCCUUCCUCCAAUCCCACCCCUGAAUCUUUUUUGAGAUCAGCUGAGAACUUCCUCCUCCAGGAAGUCCUCUUGGAUUGAUCUCUCCCUACAGUGAUGCCAUCUUUCUAUAACAGAGUUACUUAGUGCAGUGUAAUUGUUUACAUGUGGGUAAUUGUUUGCUGUUUGAUAUUCUUAGGUUAUUUUAUCGAAGAAUGUUCUGCCUUGUGAGCUUUCCCCCAAAUCAGGGAUAAAUCAAUUUCUUCCUUUAGCAGUAGAGCCUCACCUUCUGCAAUGUCAUUCGUGCCAUGGAAAUUAAAGAACAAGCAAAACAGCAGCAGCUAGCACCUUCUGGGCUCUUCAUUACAUGCCAGGAAAUACGCCAAGCCUCUUACCUGCUUUUCUCACCUCAGUCCUGGGAGGCAGGUGCAAGGGUCUUCACUGCUUUCUAGAUGAAGAAACUGAGACACAGAGAGGCCCAGUAACUUGCUCAAGACCACAGAUUAGUGAGUGGC
rnacentral:lncRNA from 10 species